GAGAGAGCAAGCGGAGGAGGGACAGAAGGAGAGAGAAGGAGAGAAACCCAAGCAGGCUCCAUGCUCAGCCCAGAGCCCGGCAGGGGGCUCGCUAUCACGAUGGUUGUCAUGUGACUCAAAGUCAGGACAAGUAUCAGGGGAUCUGUCCACUUCCUGCCUCAUACUCCCGCCUUUUCCCCGCUCUCAACAUAGACUGCCCACCUCGGUGCUCCUGGCUGCCGUCUGGAGUUCAGAUUUGUUGGGGAAGGUCUUGGGCUGAAGGCUGGGGAAGGUGGCCCGCAUCAGCUGGCUGGGCCUCUAGCAGACUCAAGGUUCUGAGUCUGGUCUGAGGGAUCUGCAGGCCCCGACUCUUGGAGAGAGGGGGUAGAGGGCGAGUCUGGUCUGUUUGCCCUCUCUGUGGAGGCUGGGGGGCAGCUGGAAUGGUCCUCAGUCAUAGACACAUGUACCUUUAGUCCCCAGGAGACCUUAGGAGCCUUCUAGUGCCACCUACAGGUAAGGAAACUGAGGCACAGAGAGAGGAGUAGUUCUGAGAAUGUCUGCACAGCUAAGGUUGGCUUCUCUCUUGGGCUCUGUUAGCUAGGGGACAUUUGCCACCUCUCCAUUUGCAGCGGCGCUGGAGUGCCCCCUUUAUUUCACCAUGUUGACAGCAUGUGUGCCUCUCCUGCUGCAAGGGGCAGGGGGCUCCAGGGAGUGCAGGGGCAGUGCCCGGUUCUCCACGGCACCUGCCAAGAGUCAGGAGUGGCACAUGGCAUGUGCUCAGCAGAGUGUAGCGGCAUGGAUGGAGGGGGCGGACGGGCAGUGCCCCAAUUCUCCAAUUCUGCCAGAUCCAGCAGUCAGAGCGCUGAGCUGGGGAGACAGUGGGGAGCCAGGGGACAGACAGCUCAGGUCUGUCCUGCCUGCCCUCGGGAACCCCGGGCCUUGUCUCCCACCCUAGCCCCCCUCCUUGACCUUGUUAAAAAGCCCCCGCUGA